rnacentral:rRNA from 1 species
GAUCAUGGCUCAGGACGAACGCUGGCGGCGCGCCUAACACAUGCAAGUCGAACGGGGUUAUACGGGAUGAAGUUUUCGGAUGGAAUUCUAUAUAACCUAGUGGCGGACGGGUGAGUAACACGUGAGCAACCUGCCUAGUCAGAGGGGGAUAACGAUUGGAAACGAUCGCUAAUACCGCAUGACAUAGCGAAGAGGCAUCUUUUUGCUAUCAAAGAUUUAUCGCUGAUAGAUGGG